rnacentral:rRNA from 1 species
GCAAGUCGAACGAGAAAGCUCUUCGGAGUGAGUACAGUGGCGCACGGGUGAGUAACGCGUAGGUAACGUACCUUUUAGUGGGGGACAACAUCGUGAAAACGGUGCUAAUACCGCAUAAGCAAGUAAUUGGAAAGGUGGCCUUUGGCUAUCGCUAGAAGAUCGGCCUGCGUGACAUUAGCUUGAUGGUGGGGUAAUGGCCUACCAUGGCUACGAUGUCUAGCUGGUCUGAGAGGAUGAUC